rnacentral:piRNA from 1 species
UAACAUCUACAGGUGGUUGUUCUCAUCCC